rnacentral:rRNA from 1 species
GAUGAACGCUGGCGGCGUGCCUAAUACAUGCAAGUCGAGCGAACAGACGAGGAGCUUGCUCCUCUGACGUUAGCGGCGGACGGGUGAGUAACACGUGGAUAACCUACCUAUAAGACUGGGAUAACUUCGGGAAACCGGAGCUAAUACCGGAUAACAUGUUGAACCGCAUGGUUCAACAGUGAAAGACGGUCUUGCUGUCACUUAUAGAUGGAUCCGCGCCGCAUUAGCUAGUUGGUAAGGUAACGGCUUACCAAGGCAACGAUGCGUAGCCGACCUGAGAGGGUGAUCGGCCACACUGGAACUGAGACACGGUCCAGACUCCUACGGGAGGCAGCAGUAGGGAAUCUUCCGCAAUGGGCGAAAGCCUGACGGAGCAACGCCGCGUGAGUGAAGAAGGUCUUCGGAUCGUAAAACUCUGUUAUUAGGGAAGAACAAAUGUGUAAGUAACUAUGCACGUCUUGACGGUACCUAAUCAGUAAGCCACGGCUAACUACGUG